ensembl:lncRNA
GGGUUGUAGUGGAUUGAGAGGGAGCCUGGAAUGGCCUGAAGACAAGUUCCGUUUUUACUCUGGAAAUAAUCGACACUUGAACAUCACUGUAUAGUUCUCAAAAGUUUUUUUUUUUUUUUUGGUAAUCUAAAUGAAGGCAGCAAAAAGGAGUCAUUAUCGCAGAGUAGGAUCAUCAUCCUCUUCAAUUCAGGAAACUAACUCACGUAGAGUGUGUCUCCACCUGGUGCCAUCAACCCACGGAGGGAACUGCCAGUUCCUGUGAUGCCCAGUGGAGGGAGCGACCCCACUGCUGCUUCUACCUGCUACAGAUUCAACUGUGACGACUGACUUCCUUCACUACAACUCCUCUGAGCAGAACACACCUAAAUAUGAAAUGAAGUGUGUGCCUGUGUUACCAAGAUGCAGAUGUUGUUCCAUGAGAGGAGAGCCAUCAGUGUCUCAAUCUCCUGUCCGCUUGUGAAACCUGCGUACCCAGUAGGGCAAAGCCACCCUGAAAGGUCCUAAGCCCCUUUGUGUGCGCCUUAGGUGGAGCUGCCUUGCAGCCAAGAAACUGGAGUCCGCUGGUAGGAAAGGGUUGCUCCAGAGGCAACAC